rnacentral:rRNA from 1 species
UACGUAGGGUGCAAGCGUUAAUCGGAAUUACUGGGCGUAAAGCGUGCGCAGGCGGUUCGUUGUGUCGGUGGUGAAAUCCCCGGGCUUAACCUGGGAAUGGCCAUGGAAACUGGCGAACUGGAGUGCGGCAGAGGGGGGUGGAAUUCCGCGUGUAGCAGUGAAAUGCGUAGAGAUGCGGAGGAACACCGAUGGCGAAGGCAGCCCCCCUGGGCUAGCACUGACGCUCAGGCACGAAAGCGUGGGGAGCAAACAGG